GUAGGUGGCAAGCGUUGUCCGGAUUUACUGGGCGUAAAGAGCGCGCAGGCGGUCGUUCAAGUCGCGUGUGAAAGCCCCCGGCUCAACUGGGGAGGGUCACGCGAUACUGAUCGACUCGAAGGCAGGAGAGGGAAGUAGAAUUCCCGGUGUAGUGGUGAAAUGCGUAGAUAUCGGGAGGAACACCAGUGGCGAAGGCGACUUCCUGGCCUGUUCUUGACGCUGAGGCGCGAAAGCUAGGGGAGCAAACGGGAUUAGAUACCCCGGUAGUCCUAGCCGUAAACGAUGGACACUAGGUGUUGGUGGUAUCAACCCCGCCAGUGCCGAAGCUAACGCAUUAAGUGUCCCGCCUGGGGAGUACGGCCGCAAGGCUA
rnacentral:rRNA from 1 species